rnacentral:rRNA from 1 species
UGGGGAAUCUUGCACAAUGGGCGGAAGCCUGAUGCAGCGACGCCGCGUGGGGGAUGACGGCCUUCGGGUUGUAAACUCCUUUCGCCAGGGACGAAGCCGUGAGGUGACGGUACCUGGAUAAGAAGCACCGGCUAACUACGUGCCAGCAGCCGCGGUAAUACGUAGGGUGCGAGCGUUGUCCGGAAUUACUGGGCGUAAAGAGCUCGUAGGUGGUUUGUCGCGUCGUCUGUGAAAUUCCGGGGCUUAACUCCGGGUGUGCAGGCGAUACGGGCAUAACUUGAGUGCUGUAGGGGAGACUGGAAUUCCUGGUGUAGCGGUGAAAUGCGCAGAUAUCAGGAGGAACACCGAUGGCGAAGGCAGGUCUCUGGGCAGUAACUGACGCUGAGGAGCGAAAGCGUGGGUAGCGAACAGG